CCAAGCCUUCUGGCGAUCUCUUAAAAUAAAGUCUAGCCUAUUUAAACAAAUAGGGCUUUUAGACCUAUGUUUAAAUUUUUAUGAUGUUUAAAUUCUUAUGGAUUUUAAAAAUCGUGAAUUUAAAAAAGUCUUUAUGAAGAAAGCACUUCAAGCUUUUCCAAUGAUUUAAGAUGAUACCGGGGAAGGUUUUCCGGUUUAUCCCGGAGGGCUUGUAGCUCAGUUGGUUAGAGCGCGCGCUUGAUAAGCGUGAGGUCGGAGGUUCAAGUCCUCCCAGGCCCACCAAUUAUACUCGUUUUUUGUUUAUUCUUGAGAGUUAUGAAGCUUAAGCGCAUGAAAGCCUCUUUAAAUCUUUUUUGAUUAUGAAAGAUUUAAUUUUAUCCUUCAAAGAUUGUUUGUGAAAUUUAUCUCAUUUUAAAUUUGUCAGACAGUGCAUUUAUCAAAGAGGAAAAUCCCUUCAAGGGUACAGACAAAUUUAAAUGAUAGAAAUCAAAAUGAUCCAAAUCAUUAAUCGUCCAAGUGAUUGAAGUUGAUAAAUUUACUUGAGGUUGAUUUGAGAGAGCAUUUUUUAGGGGCCGUAGCUCAGCUGGGAGAGCACCUGCUUUGCAAGCAGGGGGUCGUCGGUUCGAUCCCGUCCGGCUCCACCAUUUUAUGGUUCAUCAUCAUGUUGUAAGAACAUCGUUUUGUGAGGGGUUUUAAGAACUUCUUG
rnacentral:tRNA from 1 species